AUGAACGCUGGCGGCGUGCCUAAUACAUGCAAGUCGAGCGAACGGACGAGAAGCUUGCUUCUCUGAUGUUAGCGGCGGACGGGUGAGUAACACGUGGAUAACCUACCUAUAAGACUGGGAUAACUUCGGGAAACCGGAGCUAAUACCGGAUAAUAUUUUUAACCGCAUGGUUCAAAAAUGAAAGACGGUCUUGCUGUCACUUAUAGAUGGAUCCGCGCUGCAUUAGCUAGUUGGUAAGGUAACGGCUUACCAAGGCAACGAUGCAUAGCCGACCUGAGAGGGUGAUCGGCCACACUGGAACUGAGACACGGUCCAGACUCCUACGGGAGGCAGCAGUAGGGAAUCUUCCGCAAUGGGCGAAAGCCUGACGGAGCAACGCCGCGUGAGUGAUGAAGGUCUUCGGAUCGUAAAACUCUGUUAUUAGGGAAGAACAUAUGUGUAAGUAACUGUGCACAUCUUGACGGUACCUAAUCAGAAAGCCACGGCUAACUACGUG
rnacentral:rRNA from 1 species